AAACGCUGGCGGCGCACAUAAGACAUGCAAGUCGAACGGACUUAAACUCAUUCUUUACGAUUGAGAGCGGUUAGUGGCGGACUGGUGAGUAACACGUAAGCAACCUGCCUAUCAGAGGGGAAUAACAGUGAGAAAUCAUUGCUAAUACCGCAUAUGCUAACAGUAUCGCAUGAUACAGUUAGGAAAGGAGCAAUCCGCUGAUAGAUGGGCUUGCGUCUGAUUAGCUAGUUGGUGGGGUAACGGCCUACCAAGGCGACGAUCAGUAGCCGAGCUGAGAGGCUCAACGGCCACAUUGGGACUGAGAUACGGCCCAGACUCCUACGGGAGGCAGCAGUCGGGAAUAUUGCGCAAUGGAGGAAACUCUGACGCAGUGACGCCGCGUAUAGGAAGAAGGUUUUCGGAUUGUAAACUAUUGUCAUUAGGGAAGAUAAAAGACUGUACCUAAGGAGGAAGCCCCGGCUAACUAUGUG
rnacentral:rRNA from 1 species